ACUUUACAAUUAAAUCCCAAUAUUCUUUAUUACACUCUGGAUAAAUCAUGUCAACUAUAUAAUUCCUCCUAUUUACAAUAAUUUUUCUACCCAUUCCCUUCGAUUCUGUCUUAAUGAUAUUCUACCAAGUGUGUCAUGUAUCUUUCAUUUGUAUUCCUCCUUAAUAGUUUUGAAAAUCAUGUCAGAUCUUGGGACUCUUUGAUACGAAUGAGCACCACUAUUUACUCUCUAGAGUGGUACUCUAGUGCUACCUGUAUCGAAAUUGUUAGCUGCCUACAUACUUUGCCUCAUGUUCUUUUAGUCAAACAUCUUCAGAUGCCAUUCUAUUCCCAGUGUUGCAUCCCCAUGUUUUUCAAUUGCAGUACUUCCUGUGUACAUGCUUUUGAGAAUGGUAAUUCAAAGUAUAGAUGGUAAGUUGUUUUAGUGGCUUCCCCACAUAUGGAACAGGAGGUUUCUUGAUAGAUUCCUAAUCGUUCUUGAUAGAUUCCUGAUCGAUCCAGUCUCUCUUUAGUUAACUAACUUUUGUGCAUAGCUAACCAACAGAAAAAGCUUUGCUUUGGGAUGAUGUUGUAUAUACUCAAAACCUAUCUCAUACUAGCCCAAUCGUCUCUACUUCCUUGUCUCCAUUUAUAGCAGUUGCCUGUUGUGUAUUGUCCAUUCACUGAUAGCCAUCCCUCCUGGACAUAUCUAGUCAUA
rnacentral:lncRNA from 1 species